rnacentral:rRNA from 1 species
AAGAAUGGGCGGAGCUACACAUGCAGUCGAGCGGUAGAGAGAAGCUUGCUUCUCUUGAGAGCGGCGGACGGGUGAGUAAUACCUAGGAAUCUGCCUGAUAGUGGGGGAUAACGUUCGGAAACGGACGCUAAUACCGCAUACGUCCUACGGGAGAAAGCAGGGGACCUUCGGGCCUUGCGCUAUCAGAUGAGCCUAGGUCGGAUUAGCUAGUUGGUGAGGUAAUGGCUCACCAAGGCUACGAUCCGUAACUGGUCUGAGAGGAUGAUCAGUCACACUGGAACUGAGACACGGUCCAGACUCCUACGGGAGGCAGCAGUGGGGAAUAUUGGACAAUGGGCGAAAGCCUGAUCCAGCCAUGCCGCGUGUGUGAAGAAGGUCUUCGGAUUGUAAAGCACUUUAAGUUGGGAGGAAGGGCAUUAACCUAAUACGUUAGUGUUUUGACGUUACCGACAGAAUAAGCACCGGCUAACUCUGUGCCAGCAGCCGCGGUAAUACAGAGGGUGCAAGCGUUAAUCGGAAUUACUGGGCGUAAAGCGCGCGUAGGUGGUUUGUUAAGUUGAAUGUGAAAUCCCCGGGCUCAACCUGGGAACUGCAUCCAAAACUGGCAAGCUAGAGUAUGGUAGAGGGUAGUGGAAUUUCCUGUGUAGCGGUGAAAUGCGUAGAUAUAGGAAGGAACACCAGUGGCGAAGGCGACUACCUGGACUGAUACU